rnacentral:piRNA from 1 species
UGGGAUUAAGAAAAGUAGCAAC